CAAAAAACAUCAGGAGGUCUUUUCCAUUUCCUCAGUGUCCUUCACAGUAAUGUCAUGAGGCAGUGAAGGAAGAAGGACCCUUCCUGACAGUGUGACCGCGAGCAGCACCCCCUCACCUCAGGCCUGGCUGUGCGCUGAACUAGACGAGGUCACCAGGUCAAAGGCUCUCACUAGAUCCCCUGGGGGGGACACUUCUGAAGUGUCAGCUGGAAGGAUGCUGAAGCCCGGAACUGUGUCUUUGAUUGGGAUCAAAAAUACAACAUCACUUUACUCCUACAGAUGUGUGGUAACUAUAAUUACAAUCAUCUCGCAUCAUUCAUAUCCUGUCUUUUCUCUGAAGUUAUACUGUGAACACUCCACUCUGUUACCAGGAGUCCUUGAAGAGUAACAUUUUCAGUAAGGACAGAAUAUCCUACCAAAAGUCUUGAGGUGGGAAGCCCAGGAAAGGCCUCUGCUCCAAGUGCCAUUGCGUGAGACUACAUGCCCAAGAUCUCUUCACCGUGCAACACAACUGCUGGAGCGCCAGCCAUUACACCCAUAUUCCAGCCAACAAGAAGGAGUAAGCUCCACAGAAAGGCACAUCCCUCUGUUUAUGCUCCCUUCUCUGAUGUUGCACAGCCCUUUUCAUUCCAGAAUGUAGCCACAAAGGCACCUAACCAUAGGAAAGACUGGGAAACACAGCUCCUAUUUUGGGGAGUCAAUGCUGAGCUAAAAUCAGGAGUUUGUAAUAAAGGAGGAAAGGGAGAUCAGAUAGCAA